GGAGCAGCUUGGUAGCUCGUCGGGCUCAUAACCCGAAGGUCGUUGGUUCAAAUCCAGCCCCCGCAACCA
rnacentral:tRNA from 1 species